GCAGGCAGCGGCUACUUCUCCUCUCCAGAGGGAGACGCGGGUUCGAAUCCCGCCGCCGGCU
rnacentral:tRNA from 2 species